rnacentral:lncRNA from 1 species
GACGACGAGCGCUAGCGAGGUCUUAAGAAUGUCCCCUAUGGCGUGUCGCAAAGACCCAACCACCUGGAUUUUGCAGAUCGAAGAUUUCUAGGUCCAAGGGCGUGGAAGGUGUCGCACGCUACAGACCGGGGACGAUCGAUCCGAGAGGACAGCGACGAAAGCAACAUCGACUCUACAGUUGCCAGAUGAUGUUGUGGAUGAUAGGUUCCCUACAUUGGAGCCUUACUAGUUGAGCAGCGCAGACU